GAGGGUAUAGCUCAGCGGCAGAGUGCACACUUAGCAUGCACCAGGUCCUGGGUUCGGUCCCCAGUACCUCCA
rnacentral:tRNA from 1 species